CUGACUCCUUCCCCCGGCCUUGGGGGCUGCGGGAGAGUCCGACACCUCCCACCUAUCGUAAGAACCCAACCUGCAAGAUGCUGAAUAUGAAACACAAGGAAGUUGGAGGGGGAAAAAUUGUCCUGCAAAACAGAAAAGACGACAAAAACUGAAAGUGACACAAGAAAAGAUCAAAGCAGAAGAGGAAAAAAAAGAAGUGAUUCUGGCUGUUGAUAUAUGCUCAGCAAUCUGACAUGGUCACUGCUGGACCUCCAUCAGGCAGCCAUGAAGAUCACAGUAAGAGGUGUUUCUCACCCUGCUUUGGCAGGGGUGGGAUCUGUUAAAGCCUUUUUUUGUUUUGGGAGGUGGGGGCAGCUUGCACACCAAAGCAGAUGCUCACACCUUGAAACUCAGUACUCCCAACAUUGGAAACUUUGGCUUGAAAGCUGGUAUCCUCACUAUUAUAAAGCAGGAGCUGGCAACCUUUCAGAAGUAGUGUGCCGAGUCUUCAUUUAUUCACUCUAGUUUAAGGUUUUGCAUGCCGGUAAUACAUUUUAA